GCUGGGUAUGGUGGUGCAUGCCUAUAAUCCCAGCGAUAUGGGAGGCUGAGGCAGGAGGAUUGGGAGUUCAAAGCCAGCCUCAAUAAUUUGGCGAGGCACUUAGCAACUCAGUGAGAUCCUGUCUCUA
rnacentral:sRNA from 1 species